rnacentral:lncRNA from 1 species
AUAUGUCAUGACGUAUAUGAUAGAUCCCACUAUCGAAGCAUAUAAAAUUUUACUCAUACGCUCUCUCUUAUGGACUUUUCAGACAAUCCUUCUUAGAGAGAGUAAUUCCAUAGCCUAUCAAAAAAUAAUUUUUUUUGAAAUUUUCUAUACUGAACUAUUUCAGCAUAGUAUCUAUGUAUAUGGAUUCGGACAAUCCAAGCAGCCUCUUAGAUCUAUCCCU